rnacentral:rRNA from 1 species
AUUCGAUUAGAGUUUGAUCCUGGCUCAGAUUGAACGCUGGCGGCAGGCUUAACACAUGCAAGUCGAGCGGUAGCACAGGGGAGCUUGCUCCCUGGGUGACGAGCGGCGGACGGGUGAGUAAUGUCUGGGAAACUGCCUGAUGGAGGGGGAUAACUACUGGAAACGGUAGCUAAUACCGCAUAACGUCGCAAGACCAAAGAGGGGGACCUUCCGGCCUCUUGCCAUCAGAUGUGCCCAGAUGGGAUUAGCUAGUAAGUAGGGUACUGGCUCACCUACGCGACGAUCCCUAGCUGGUCUGAGAGGAUGACCAGCCACACUGGAACUGAAACACGGUCCACACUCCUACGGGAGGCAAAAGUGGGGAAUAUUGCACAAUGUGCGCAAGCCUGAAGCACCCAUGCCGAGUGAGUGCAACAAUGCCUUUGGCUUGUAAAGCACGCGCACCGGAGACGGAAGGUGGAUACACUUAAUUUUGCACAGCAGCGUGACGAAGAAGUAGUAAAAAGAGCAGCGUUCGACUAAUCGCUCAUGACCUGAAAUCUCAUUAGUACAUACAUGAAAGAUGUCAAAUCGUCUAAAUCAAGAGGUUACUUGCGUUCAAUAAGAGCCGAUGAAAAAGAUGUAUAUCAUCGAGAGAAAAUAACGGCGGCGGUUAUUUCAAGCACGGCAAUGUUAGAUAGCCAAUACAAUUGCAAUGAUAGUCGUUUUGAGGAAAACGCACACAAAAGCAAGAUCCAAAUAACCUUUGUACGUCGAUCAAUCCUUAUAC